GGGCAUAACCACGUACNUGGCNCACGCCGCGUUUACGGACCCUUACAAGGACCCGUUAUUGGGCUGUAAGGGACACGGGAAAAAA
rnacentral:misc_RNA from 1 species